rnacentral:rRNA from 1 species
AACGUAGGAGGCGAGCGUUAUCCGGAUUUAUUGGGCGUAAAGCGCAUGCAGGUGGUUUCGUUAGUCGGAUGUGAAAGCCUCUGGCUUAACUGGAGGAGGUCGUUCGAUACUGCGAAACUAGAGGUUGGGAGAGGAAAGCGGAAUUCCCGGUGUAGUGGUGGAAUGCGUAGAUAUCGGGAGGAACACCAGUGGCGAAGGCGGCUUUCUGGCCCACACCUGACACUAAGAUGCGAAAGCGUGGGGAGCGAACGGGAUUAGAUACCCUUGUA